rnacentral:lncRNA from 1 species
CAUAGCGGAAGUCUUACAAAAUAAAAGAUAAAUAUAACAGGAUCUAAAAAUACAUCCUUGGCGCGAGAAAGUCAACUGGGAGACGACGAUCUAGACCUCUCACGAACACAGCGCAACAUCCACCAUGCGCCUCAUCCAGUGGUACCUGUUCUUGACCUGUGGGGGUGUGAGACAGCAAGGGUGAGCUCACACAUGGUCAUAGCUCAACAAGUUGUGGGGAAUAAUGUGGCAUGAACUCACCAAAGGUGGGAGUUCAUGAAGUGUGUAAGGCUGAUCAACAAUAGAGGUUAAAGCUAAGCGUUGCUUUUAUAAGUUCGUCAAAAUUUUAUUAGCAGUUACUAAGUGUACGUAAAUACCAAACCAUAAUAAAUAAUAAUAGAACAAAAUUAAUAAUAAACCCAUGCAAAUGCAAAUGACAAAUUGAGUUUAGGUUCCAUAAUUUAAUCAUCAGAGAGUCCUGAGCUGCUCAUGACCGUGAGCUCGGCUAGUAUACCAGUUUUACACUCUGCAGAGGUUGUACCCUUUACCCACAAGUCGUGUUUCCCAUGUCGCCAGGGUUAGCUAGGCCCUUAGACACUACCGAGGUGAAUGGCUAGGGAUCCACUACGAGGCCUUUACAAAGUUCCACUAGCUUACGAAAACCCUUUAUAGUUUAUGGGAAGAGCACUUGCAAGAAUCCCCCGUCUGACCGCCAUCGUAGCAAAUCAACCCGAGAACCUCCUUGCAUGCAACUCCCCUACUGCCCUUGCCCCUUUCGGGUAAGGUAGUCUUCCACUAGCUUUCCUAAUUAGUUAGCCAAGGGGUCUCAUUCCUCCCUUGUGGUGGCACAUGUUUCUCAAGUUAAGCUCUAUGUUCCAAUUAACAUUAAUGAUCUUGACAUGAACAUAAAUAGAAUAACAAAAGAAUUGGAACAUAGAUAUAAUAAAUGAUUAUCCCAAAACCAUGUAAAGCAAUAGCAAACUACCCAAGUGAUUCAGGGGUAAACAAGGUAAUGAGAUAAACAAUCUAGGGUGACCUAUUGGGUCCCAUCAAAAUUAACCUAUGCAUGAAUAAAUGAUAUUAAAGAACAUUAUUGAGUAACAAAAGUGAAUCAAGGGCACAACUUGCCUGGGACUUUAGAUUCCAGGUACCAACUUGCUCUUCAGAUGACACGUGUCCUCACCGCUAAACGUAGCAAUACAGACAAACAUGUAUAGGCAAAAUUAACAUCACACCAAACAUAACAAUAAACUGCGUAAUAAUGAUCUACGCAUUGCUACGAGAUUGUGGAAUCGAGAACUACUAGGUUCAGAGUUAAGGUGAAGGACUUAUGAUCUAUAAAAGCUCUACGUGACUUAAAUAUUAAACUAUAUUAUAAAUUGGUUAGUAUAGAUCAUAUAAGAGGUUAUUCUAUAAAUAAUUAUCUCAACUUUAAUCUAAGUUAUAAAUUGACCAUAGAUCAUAGUUUAGUAAAUUAUGAUGAACAUCUUAACAAGACUAACUAACAUAAGUUAAAUAAAGAUCUAAUCAUAAGAUAAUGAGACAUGAUAUAAUAAAUGGUGUUAUUGCAUAAUAAAUAUUUAUACGAGACUAACGUAACUUGAACGGAUCAAAUCAGAAUCAUAGAUUUUAAGUUAUGAAUUUCUAAUGAUUUUAUGUGUUUUGUACAAGAUUAAAGAGGAUCUAAAUUUUAAUGUAACUUUCAUGUCAAAACAGAGGUACUAUGUUAUAAACAAUAAUAUUACAGAAUUAUCAAAAUUGGAAUGGGUCAAUUUGAAGUUCAUAUGAAUUUUAUAUGAAUUAAACAAACUCUAGCCAUAAAAAAUAGAUUUCUAAUUCCUUUUCCUGGAUUUCCUAUUUACUGGACUGGGCAUACUAAUAUUAGAAAGUGCAGGGGUCCCUGUGUAAAUGUUUCCAAGACCCAGACGCCUACGCUGUGUACGGUGGGUUAAUUCCUAUGAAGUACAGGGGUUCUUUUAAAAUACUGCCACGGCGAAGGGGUAAGUACCCAUCUGAGUCGUUGGAUCAGCGCUUGAUGGUUCAGAUUAGAUCUAGCACAUUAUGAAACUCGAGAACGAAGCAGAACCACACGAUUGUGAUCCUCUGGAUCAAGUGGCGAAGGGGUACGCACGCAUUUAAUCAGGACCGCCCGCCGAUCGAUCAAUGGCCCGGGGUCGAUACAGCGCGAUCUAAUCUUAGCCACACAUCAGGUUUUCAAUAGCUAUCGUGUGUCUUCCUUCUCCCACCGCGGAGGGAGCGGCGGCGUAGACGCCCUGGCGCCAUGGCUGACGCACAGACGAUCCCACACCCGAGUCUAAAUCUUGAGCCAAGCUGGUGUUAUAGGGAGAGAAGGGUAAGUAUAACGAUGUGGUGGAUUCCUCACCUUAGGUCUGGGCGGAGAUGGUCCGAUCAACGUAACACAACAGUACCAUGAUGCAUGGUGGCCCGACGGCGAUGCCCAAGCACCGGCGUGGAAUCCCUAGGCCCCCGCGGCGCCAAUCCGGCCGCGGCGUCGAAGCCCGUCCAUGCCCCAACCUGCGAAGACACGGCGAGGAUCACUACCCCCGCUGUGCCCGCUCUCCUGCGGCUCGGCUCAAGUUCAACAGCGGUGGAGACAUGAACUCCGCGGUGGCACCCUUCUCGCACCCUAUCCCUUUCUCAUGUUGGCUUCGAAG